CCUACGGGAGGCAGCAGUCGAGAAUCAUUCACAAUGGGGGAAACCCUGAUGGUGCGACGCCGCGUGGGGGAAUGAAGGUCUUCGGAUUGUAAACCCCUGUCAUGUGGGAGCAAAUGAAAAAGAUAGUACCACAAGAGGAAGAGACGGCUAACUCGGUGACAGCAGCCGCGGUAAUACAGAGGUCUCAAGCGUUAUUCGGAAUUACUGGGCGUAAAGCGUGCGUAGGCGGGUUCGUAAGUCGUGUGUGAAAUGCGCGGGCUCAACCCGCGGACGGCACAUGAUACUGGGAGACUAGAGUAAUGGAGAGGGAAGCGGAAUUCGCGGUGUAGCAGUGAAAUGCGUAGAGAUCGAGAGGAACACUCGUGGCGAAGGCGGGUCCCUGGACAGUAACUGACGCUGAGGUACGAAGGCGUGGGGAGCGAAAAGGAUUAGAUACCCCUGUAGUC
rnacentral:rRNA from 1 species